ensembl:lncRNA
AUGGAUCCAACUGAAAACCCAGGGAACCGCAUUGGUCGCACUAUUUGGACUGUUUGGGGUUAUCUGUCAGGGGCUGUUGCAAGAUUUCUCAGACCGGAAGUCACAGAUGAAGGAAACCAAGGUGUUCGUACCAGAACAGAUGAUAUUGACUUGAAAAGUGCAGUUAACAAGAUUGACAGAGAAGUAACGGCAAAAAAUAGCAACAAUGAAGGGAAGGAAACAAAUCAAAUUGACAGUGCAGAGGUCAAGUGUUCCCCAUCUAAAGUCAGAGUGCAAGUGGCUUCUGUACAGUGGGAAAACACUGAUGUGGUCAAGGAUGACAAUAAUGAUGAACUUCAUGUUCACACCACAAAAAAACAAACUUACCAUUGUGCAGUGUGGUCCCCUGGGACUGAUACAGACAACGAAGGAUGCAUGGUUGACGCACUUGUUGAGAAAGAAGCAGUCUCAUCUGAUGAGGUUCAGGCUGAAAAUAUAUAUGCGAACAAUGAGUUUAAGGAGAGUGAAACUGCACACGAGUUGGAAGAAACUGGAAAGAUUGAACAAAAAUAUGGUGACAAUGAAGAUAUAGAAGAACGUGAUCAGAAUCAUAAGGGUGAAAAGUGUGCAAAGAAUAGAAAAGAUGCAUAUGAGACAGACGUAAUGGUCCAAUUUGAUCAAGAUGUAGAACAGGAAAAGCAGAUAAACAUGGCGGACCAUGGAGAGACAGAAGGCAUUGCAGGUUUUAAACAUGCAGAUACACAUCUUAUUGAUGAACAAAUUGUUGACCAGAAGGAUCGAGGGGGAAUUGCUUACGUCUCUAAAAACGAGGUUGAGGAGAUGAUGCCUGAAACUAGAGGUGCGACUGAGCAGGAUAAGGAGAAGAAAACUGUACAGGACUUGGAAGAAAUUUGGCAGCUUGAACGAAACGAUGGUGACAAUGAAGAUAAAGAAGAAUGUGAUCAGAAUCAUGAGGAAGAAAAGUGUGCAGUGGAGAGUGAAGAUUUGGAUAAUGCAGACGUAAAGGUCCAAUCUGAGCUUUAUGGACAAGAUGUAGAACAUGAAAUGAAGAUAAGCAUGAUGGACCAUGCAGAGAAAGAAGGUAUUGGAGGUUUUAAACAUUCAGAUGAACAUCCAAUUGAUGAAAAGGAGAACAAUUUAGACCAGAAGGAUCAGGAGAAAACUGAGAAUGAUGAAGAACAAGGACUUGAAUCACAAGUUCAAGAUCUGCAGAAGAGUGAAGAUCCAGAUAAUGCAAAUGUAAUGGUCCAAUGUGAGCAAGAUGUAGAACAAGAAAAGAAGAUAAAUAUAGUGGACCAUGGAGAGACAGAAAGAAUUGCAGGUUUUAAACAUGCAGAUGAACACCUUAUUGAAGAAAAGGAGAACAAUUUAAACCAGAAGGAUCAGGAGAAAACUGAGAAUGAUGAAGAAAAAGGACUUGAAUCACAAGUUCAAGAUUUGCAGAAGAGUAAAGAUCCAGACAUAUUGGUCCAAUGUGAGCUUUAUGGACAAGAUGUAGAACAAGACAAACUGAUAAACAUGAUGGAUCAUGGAGAGACAGGAGGCUUUGGAGGUUUUAAACUUUCAGAUGAACAUCUUAUUGAUGAAAUAGUGGAACAAACUGUUGACCAGAAAGAUCGGGGCAGAACUGAGAAUGAUGAAGACCAAGGAACUGAAUCACAAGUGCAAGAUUUGCUGCCACAGCUGGAAUAUUUAAAAAAAUAUUCUGAUGAAAUUGCUUGCAUAUCUAAAAACGAGGUUGAGGAGAUGAUGCCUGAAACUAGAUGUGCGACUGAGCAGGGUAAGGAGAAGGAAACUGUACAGGACUUGGAAGAAAUUGGGCAGCUUGAACAAAACGAUGGUGACAAUGAAGAUGAAGAAGAAUGUGAUCAGAAUCAUGAGGAAGAAAAGUGUGCAGUGGAGAGUGAAGAUUUGGAUAAUGCAGACGUAAAGGUCCAAUCUGAGCUUUAUGGACAAGAUGUAGAACAAGAAAUGCAGAUAAGUGGGAUGGACCUAGCAGAGGAAGAAGGCAUUGGAGGUUUUAAACAUUCAGAUGAACAUCCUAUUGAUGAAAAGAAGAACAAUUUAGACCAGAAGGAUCAGGAGAAAACUGAGAAUGACGAAGAACAAGGACUUGAAUCACAAGUUCAAGAUUUGCAGAAGAGUGAAGAUCCAGAUACCGCAGACGUAAUGGUCCAUUGUGAGCAAGAUGUAAAACAGGAAAAGCAGAUAAACAUAGCGGACCAUGGAGAGACAGAAGGCAUUGCAGGUUUUAAAUAUGCAGAUGAACAUCUUAUUGAAGAAAAGGAGAACAGUUUAAACCAGAAGGAUCAGGAGAAAACUGAGAAUGAUGAAGAAAAAGGACUUGAAUCACAAGUUCAAGAUUUGCAGAAGAGUGAAGAUCCAGAUAACGCAGACAUAUUGGUCCAAUGUGAGCUUUAUGGACAAGAUGUAGAACAAGACAAACUGAUAAACAUGAUGGAUCAUGGAGAGACAGGAGGCUUUGGAGGUUUUAAACUUUCAGAUGAACAUCUUAUUGAUGAAAUAGUGGAACAAACUGUUGACCAGAAAGAUCGGGGCAGAACUGAGAAUGAUGAAGACCAAGGAACUGAAUCACAAGUGCAAGAUUUGCUGCCACAGCUGGAAUAUUUAAAAAAAUAUUCUGAUGAAAUUGCUUGCAUAUCUAAAAACGAGGUUGAGGAGAUGAUGCCUGAAACUAGAGAUCCGACUGAGCAGGGUAAGGAGAAGGAAACUGUACAGGACUUGGACGAAAUUGGGCAGCUUGAACAAAACGAUGGUGACAAUGAAUGUAAAGAAGAAUGUGAUCAGAAUCAUGAGGACGAAGAGUGUGCAAUGGAGAGUGAAGAUCUGGAUAAUGCAGAUGUGAUGGUCCAAUCUGAGCUUCAUGGACAAGAUGUAGAACAAGAAAUGCAGAUAAGUGGGAUGAACCAUGCGGAGAAAGAAGGCAUUGGAGGUUUUAAACAUUCAGAUGAACAUCCUAUUGAUGAAAAGGAGAACAAUUUAGACCAGAAGGAUCAGGAGAAAACUGAGAAUGAUGAAGAACAAGGACUUGAAUCACAAGUUCAAGAUUUGCAAAAGAGUGAAGAUCCAAAUAACUCAGACAUAUUGGUCCAGUCUGAGCUUUAUGGACAAGAUGUAGAACAAGACAAACUGAUAAGCAUGAUGGAUCAUGCAGAGAAAGAAGGAACUGGCGGUUUUAAACAUUCAGAUGAACAUCUUAUUGAUGAAAUAGAGGAACAAAUUGUUGACCAGAAGGAUCGGGAGAGGGCUGAGAAUGAUGAAGACCAAGGACUUGAAUCACAAGUACAAGAUUUGCAGAAGAGUGAAGAUCCAGAUAAUGCAGACAUAAUGGUCCAAUGUGAGCAAGAUGUAGAACAGGAAAAGCAGAUAAACAUAGUGGAACAUGGAGAGACAGAAGGCAUUGGAGGAUUUAAACAUUCAGAUGGACAUUCUAUUGAUGAAAAGGAGAAACAAAAUGUUGACCCUAUGGAUCAGGAGAUGACUGAGAAUGAUGAAGAACAAGGAAUUGAAUCACAAGUGCAAGAUUUGCUACCACAGCGGGAAUAUUUUACAGAGGAAGCCGAUGACCUUGCAAAGCCUGAAAUGCUGAAUUUAAUGGAAAAAUAUUCUGAUGAAAUUGAUGAAUUCUCUAAAAAAGGGGUUGAGGAGGUGAUGCUUGAAACUGAGCAGGAUGAAGACACCACAGAAAUUGAACACGACACGACUAAAUAUGAGCUAAUGGAGUCAGAAGAAACCCUGCAGAAAGUUUCCGAAGAACUAUCUGAAAAAAAAGUACCAAAUGUUGAACUGAAAAUGACCACAGUAGUGGAUGAGUUUUUUGAAACCGUUUAUACAUUAGAAGACUCCCUGCUGUCGGAUUCAAAACAGGAUACUUCAGAAAAAACUCCUGAAACAGGAACUGGGUCAUCUAUGGUGGCCAUGAAAACUGAGGGCAUGGUUUCAGAUCUAAUUGUUUGUGAGUUCCCAGGAGAAUCGAGCAAAGGGCCAGAGACUGCAUUGGCGGAGACUGAUUUGGGAUGUUUUGAGGAGAUCAAAAGUAACCUACAUGAUCCCCAAACUCUUGCAGAAGAGAAAGCAGAAAGGGAAGCUGUGGUCGUAUGCUCUGUUGAGCACUCUGAGACCCUGAAAACAGUUGAGACUGAACAAGACAUUGAAACCUUAAUCGAAUCCUUGGGUACAACAGAAAGUCAUGCACAUCAGGAAAUGGACAAAACCAAGUUCUCACACAAAGAACAUGUUGAAUUAAGAACUGAACUGAGCGAAGAAACAACUGAUACAAAGAUCAGUUCAGAAGAUGAGGAAGCAGAACCCUCCGAGAAAGAAGGUCAAUCAUUAGUCAUCAGAAAUGUCACUUUACAGUCACAUGAGCUUCUUGAGUUCAAAGAAGGUGAAUGCAAAUCAUCUCUAGGAACAAUGGACACAUUCAGUGAAUCACUAGGAAAUUCAAGUGUGUCUGAAAUCGCUGAAAAUGCAGAGAUUGAACAUGUUGCAGAGGAGCAAACAGAUGUGAAACCUGUAUUAACAAGGUCUUUAAGUUCAGCCGGGUUUCUGGAGGAAACUGUACAUCUGCAGGAUGUAUCAGAGCGAUGCACCGAAGAGCAGGAGAUCCUGGAGACUGCUUUAGAGUAUGUAGAAGGAAUAACAAAUCAAGUCUUGAAGGAUAUGAUAGAAACAGAAGUUAACUUAGUACAAGAAACAGAACCUUUGGCAGGACCUUCAUCAGAAGAGCCUGGUGAUGCAGAAUAUCAGGGACCUGCACAAUGUGUGUCAGCUGAUGCCUUUGUCCUGGAAGAAGAAGGGAAGUUAUUGGGUGAGACAAUGGAAAGUAAGGUAGAAAUGGAGGUGGAAACCACAAGUAGUGAAGUUCUUAAACAAACUGAGCAACAUAUUAGUUCACCAGUGUGUGAAACGACUGAAGCUGAUGGAUGUCGUGAUAUUGCUGGAGCAACAGUGUUGAGUAGUCAUGAAGACUUAAUGGAAGUCAGCAGACCUGGGAUGAAAAGAGGAUUUGAUCAAGUGAACAAAGACCUUGCAGAGGUGAAGACGGAACGAAAAUUUGAUUUGUAUCUACAGGCAUUUGAGGAAUCAUCAUUGGACUUUACCAUUCAGAAGACUCGAAUUGCUGUGAAAAAUCCCCUAGUUCGGCCUCCUAAAGACCCCAGAAGGCUCCUCUUCAAGGCCUCAGUCGAACCUCUUGUCUCACAGCCUUCACCGCGUAGUCAGAAGGUUGAAGUCUCUGUUCCAAGUAAAGGGGUGACUGGAUUUAAACUUCCAGGACUGGGUGCAGAGCUGCCAGUACUGAGAAAAACUGAGUUUGGGAAGAAAACAAGAGAAGGAGGAGCAGCAGAGAGAACACUACAACCACAGCAAAAGUCAGUUGCAGUAACAGAGGAUUCUGUCAAACAAGAGCAAGCGCCAGUGCCAGUGCCAGCUAAACCCAAAUGGACACCGCCAAAGCAUCCUGGUAUGGGAAGUCCCUUCAUGAUGGCAGAACUCAAAAGCAAACUCAAAAAGCCUGUUCAGGAGUAA